rnacentral:rRNA from 1 species
UACCAGCUCUCCGAGUGGUGUGGAUGUUUAUUGGGCCUAAAGCAUCCGUAGCUGGCUGGGCAAGUCCCCUGUUAAAUCCACCGAUUUAAUCGUUGGUGUGCGGGGGAUACUGUUCGGCUAGGGGACGGGAGAGGCCGACGGUAUUUUCGGGGUAGGGGUGAAAUCCUAUAAUCCCGGGAAGACCACCAGUGGCGAAGGCUGUCGGCUAGAACGCGCCCGACGGUGAGGGAUGAAAGCUGGGGGAGCGAACCGGAUUAGAUACCCGGGUAGUCCCAGCUGUAAACGAUGCAGGCUAGGUGUUUGGGCGGCCACGUGCCGCUCUAGUGCCGCAGGGAAGUCGUUAAGCCUGCCGCCUGGGGAGUACGGCCGCAAGGCUGAAACUUAAAGGAAUUGGCGGGGAGCACCACAAGGGGUGAAGCUUGCGGUUU